AGCGAACGCUGGCGGCAGGCUUAACACAUGCAAGUCGAGCGGGCCCUUCGGGGUCAGCGGCGGACGGGUGAGUAACGCGUGGGAACGUGCCUUCUGGUCUGGAAUAACCCUGGGAAACUAGGGCUAAUACCGGAUACGCCCUUUUGGGGAAAGGUUUACUGCCGGAAGAUCGGCCCGCGUCUGAUUAGCUAGUUGGUGGGGUAACGGCCUACCAAGGCGACGAUCAGUAGCUGGUCUGAGAGGAUGAUCAGCCACACUGGGACUGAGACACGGCCCAGACUCCUACGGGAGGCAGCAGUGGGGAAUAUUGGACAAUGGGCGCAAGCCUGAUCCAGCCAUGCCGCGUGAGUGAUGAAGGUCUUAGGGUUGUAAAGCUCUUUUAUCCGGGACGAUAAUGACGGUACCGGAGGAAUAAGCCCCGGCUAACUUCGUG
rnacentral:rRNA from 1 species